UUCAAUUUCAUUUUUUUCAUCUAUAUCAUUUAUGAAUUCAAUGAACACACAUUAUUUAAACGUUCUAUGUGCAACUAUUUGUCGGGGCGCCCCUGUUUGUGACCCCCGCGCGCGCGCGCCGAAUGUAAACAGUAACGAACGGCAUUGUAGAAAAGAGAGAGCCGUAAUGCAGAAGAGAAGUUGUGUAUUCUUUCGGUGUACACAUGCAUUUUCAAUUUGCUGUGAAACAUAUGAACAUGCACAGGGAACAAUACUACAUAUUUGUUUAAGGAGGAUAUUUUUCUCGUGUGAAUCGUUUACGAGGAAAUUCUGACAGCCACACUUCUGUCGACGAUCAGCCGUUGAUAAGCUACAAGUAAUAAAGGAGAAAAGAUGGACAUUAAAGUGUGUGAUUUAUGUGGAUGUUACUGAAGAAGAGUUUUUUAAUACAGACGCAUUUUGCCGGAAAAUGAAUCUGACUUCAAAUCACAAAACUUUUACAGGAAAGUGACAAUUUGAUGAGCUUUCAUUCAAGAGGUCCCUCGUUGCUGAAUGUAAUUAGGGCCGGAGCUAUGAACCCUAACGUUAACAUUACCGCCUAUGGAAAAUGCAUUAGUGGACUAUACCCAUAUUGAGCUCCAUGCUGAUAACAUGUAAAGAGAAAUGGAACUUCUUCAAAGACUGUAACACAACAAUGAGCCAG